CGGGGCGUAGCGCAGCCUGGUAGCGCACUCGGUCUGGGGCCGAGCGGACGCGGGUUCGAAUCCCGCCGCCCCGA
rnacentral:tRNA from 1 species